rnacentral:rRNA from 1 species
ACGCUCGACACCUACGAGGCAGCAGUGGGGAAUAUUGCACAAUGGGGGAAACCCUGAUGCAGCGACGCCGCGUGAGCGAAGAAGUAUUUCGGUAUGUAAAGCUCUAUCAGCAGGAAAGAAGAAAGACGGUACCUGACUAAGAAGCCCCGGCUAACUACGUGCCAUCAGCCGCGGUAAUCUGAGCGGGCUGGCAAGGC